CGGCGGCGGAACCCAGACCUCGCAGAGAUAGAAACCCCUCCGAGCCUGUAACAUCUUCCCCAGCCCUGCCCUGGCUGGCUGAGGGGGGCUCCUGCCUGCUGGCACCAGAGGAUCACUGGAGAGGAGAGGACCAAGGUACCUGAUGCCCCGUGGAGCCACUGCCCAGCACCUGCCCUGGAGACCUGCAGCCUCCUGAAGGCAGCUGGCAGCACGCUUAGGCACCUGCAAGCAGGGUCCCAUCUCUGCCACACUCACCUUCAGGAGCCCAAGCAGCGGCCUGGCAC